rnacentral:rRNA from 1 species
GAAUGGGGCUUUGCUCCUGGUGGCAACGGCCGAGCGGUGAGUAUGCAUUGAAUCUUGCCCGGUUUGGGGGAUAUUCUGGGGAAACCCAGGCUAAUACCGCAUACUUCCUACGGGGGAGGCGGUGGACCUCCCCCACUCGCGCUAUCGGAUGAUCUAAGUCGGAUUAACUGGUUGGAGAGGUAACGGCUCACCAAGGCGACGAUCCGUACCUGGUCUGAAGGAUGAUCAUCCACACUGGGACUGAUACACGGCCCAUACUCCUACGGGAGGCAGCAAUGGGGAAUAUUGGACAAUGGGGGCAACCCUGAUCCCCCAUGCCGCGUGUGUGAAGAAGGCCUUCGGGUUGUUUUCACUUUCUUGACGACAAGGCCUGCUGGUUAAUAACCGGGGGAAGGACAUCACUCAAGAAGAAGCUCCGGCUAAGUCCGUGCCAGCAGCCGCGGUAAUACGGAGGGUGCGAGCGUUAAUCCUAAUUACUGGGCGUAAAGCGCGCGUAUGUGGCUUGAUAAUCCGGUUGUGAAAGCCCCGGGCUCAACCUGGGAACGGCAUCUGGAACUGUCAAGCUAGAGUGCAGGAGAAGAAGUAGAAUUCCCGGUGUAACGGUGAAAUGCAUAGAGAUCAAUAAGGAAUAACAAUGGCGAACGCGGCCUUCUGGACUUGACACUGACACUGAAGUGCGAAAAGCGUGGUUAGGAAACAAAGAUUACUGUAUCACUGCGUAGUCCACGCCCGAAAAACGAAUGUCCACUUUGGCC